rnacentral:rRNA from 1 species
CUGGCGGCGUGCUUAACACAUGCAAGUCGAGCGAAGCAAUUUGAAUGAGACUUCGGUGGAUUUUAAAUUGACUGAGCGGCGGACGGGUGAGUAACGCGUGGAUAACCUGCCCCACACGGGGGGAUAACAGUUAGAAAUGACUGCUAAUACCGCAUAAGCGCACGGUACCGCAUGGUACAGUGUGAAAAACUCCGGUGGUGUGAGAUGGAUCCGCGUCUGAUUAGGUAGUUGGUGAGGUAACGGCCCACCAAGCCGACGAUCAGUAGCCGACCUGAGAGGGUGACCGGCCACAUUGGGACUGAGACACGGCCCAAACUCCUACGGGAGGCAGCAGUGGGGAAUAUUGCACAAUGGGCGAAAGCCUGAUGCAGCAACGCCGCGUGAGUGAAGAAGUAUCUCGGUAUGUAAAGCUCUAUCAGCAGGGAAGAAAAUGACGGUACCUGACUAAGAAGCCCCGGCUAACUACGUGCCAGCAGCCGCGGUAAUACGUAGGGGGCAAGCGUUAUCCGGAUUUACUGGGUGUAAAGGGAGCGCAGACGGCACUGCAAGUCUGAAGUGAAAGCCCGGGGCUCAACCCCGGGACUGCUUUGGAAACUGUAGAGCUAGAGUGCUGGAGAGGCAAGCGGAAUUCCUAGUGUAGCGGUGAAAUGCGUAGAUAUUAGGAAGAACACCAGUGGCGAAGGCGGCUUGCUGGACAGUAACUGACGUUCAGGCUCGAAAGCGUGGGGAGCAAACAGGAUUAGAUACCCUGGUAGUCCACGCCGUAAAC